UACAGAGGGUGCGAGCGUUGUUCGGAAUUAUUGGGCGUAAAGGGCGCGUAGGCGGUGCGGUAAGUCACCUGUGAAAUCUCCUGGCUCAACUGGGAGUCUGCAGGCGAAACUGCCGUGCUGGAGUGUGGGAGAGGUGAGUGGAAUUCCCUGUGUAGCGGUGAAAUGCGUAGAUAUCGGGAGGAACACCUGUGGCGAAAGCGGCUCACUGGACCACAACUGACGCUGAGGCGCGAAAGCUAGGGGAGCAAACAGG
rnacentral:rRNA from 1 species